rnacentral:siRNA from 1 species
UGUCUAGUCACUGAUAAAGCC